AACGAACGCUGGCGGCAUGCCUAACACAUGCAAGUCGAACGAGACCUUCGGGUCUAGUGGCGCACGGGUGCGUAACGCGUGGGAACCUGCCCUUAGGUUCGGAAUAACUCCCCGAAAGGGGUGCUAAUACCGGAUAAUGUCUUCGGACCAAAGAUUUAUCGCCUUUGGAUGGGCCCGCGUUGGAUUAGCUAGUUGGUAGGGUAAAAGCCUACCAAGGCGACGAUCCAUAGCUGGUCUGAGAGGAUGAUCAGCCACACUGGGACUGAGACACGGCCCAGACUGCUACGGGAGGCAGCAAUGGGGAAUAUUGGACAAUGGGCGAAAGCCUGAUCCAGCAAUGCCGCGUGAGUGAUGAAGGCCUUAGGGUUGUAAAGCUCUUUUACCCGGGAUGAUAAUGACAGUACCGGGAGAAUAAGCUCCGGCUAACUCCGUG
rnacentral:rRNA from 1 species